CAAUGUUAAUUAUAAUCCCACUUUCAACUGAUCUUCCAACAAAUAAUUAUUACAAUAAUUUAAGUCAUAAUUAUGUCUGCCUAAGAAGACCUUGCAGUUUCGUGCCUUAGAAUUCAAUGCAGGGUUCUUUGUAGACAAAAGGUAAAAAAAACAUACAUAAAUGCAGCAUAUAAGAAUUCACAUGAGACAUAAGGAGCGUGUUUUCAGUCCAGCCAAGAAAGGUAUCUGUGCAUAUUAAUAAAUGAACCUCUGCUAAGCUAGAUCAUACAAUGCCACAGUAAGAGUGAGAUGUCACAUGGAUUUAUGAAUCAAGCACCAAUGUGUUUGGACUAGGCGGUAACCCAGUCUAAACAUGUGUUUCUGAACUCCAAACACGUUCCUAUGCUCUGUGUUCCAGAUAUACUGGGAGGCAUAGGGUUACAAUGAUAGAAACGUGAUUCUUAGUCACAAGAAAUCUUAUGACUUCAGGUUUUCAUGGUACUUCUGUGUUUCCAAUUACAUCUCACAGUGGAAAAGUAAGACACAAUCUGGCUUUGAGAUGAAAAACACUAGUCGUUUUUAAAAUUCCAUUUUCUUAGGUUAGCCUCGUUGGUU